rnacentral:rRNA from 1 species
GUCCACGACCAUCACACCUUGCACGCCCCAUCUCGUCUGAUCUCAGAAGCUAAGCAAGGUUGAGCCUGCUUAGUACUUGGAUGGGACAAUCAGUAGCUUACUGUCAUCUGACAGAGAGCGAACAAGAGUGGAAGAGA